UAAUACCGGAUAGAUCAAAGAAACUGGAAUGUUCCUUGAUUCAAAGCUCCGGCGUCCAAGGAUGGAUCUGCGGCUUAUCAGGUAGUAGUGGGUGUAACGUACCUACUAGCCUACGACGAGUACGGGUUGUGAGAGCAAGAGCCCGGAGAUGGAUUCUGAGACAUGAAUCCAGGCCCUACGGGGCGCAGCAGGCGCGAAAUCUUUACAAUGCAGGAAACUGCGAUAAGGGGACCCCGAGUGCCAGCAUCUAAUGCUGGCUGUCCAGCUGUGUAAAUAGCAGUUGUUAGCAAGGGCCGGGCAAGACCGGUGCCAGCCGCCGCGGUAACACCGGCGGCCCGAGUGGUAGCCGUUAUUAUUGGGUUUAAAGGGCCCGUAGCCGGCCUAUUAAGUCUCUUGGGAAAUCUGGCGGCUUAAUCGUCAGGCGUUC
rnacentral:rRNA from 1 species